UGUACUUUCCGAACAAUCAGAUCAUGAUUGGGUUAAUCCCAAAGUAGUUUUCCAAAAAAUAAUAAUGAUAAGGCUGAUUUAUAAACUCGACUUUCCAUUUAACGUUCGUAGCAAAUUCUACACCUUAUUCAUAAACUAGACGUUGCUACCGUUAACCUAAAAAUUUUGUUAUACUUUUGACGUGUGUAUUACUUUUUGUUUUCGUGAUAAAGUUAUUUUGUUUGUAUCCAGCAUUUACCUAUGGAUGAUAUUAUAGAAAAUAACGAGGUUUUUUAUAUUAGGACAAAUGUGACAAAAGCAAACGGGUGUGAAAAGAUAAAAAUUCGUUUAUGUUAGAUUUGUUCUAGUCUGCCAAUCUGGACCGUUCUUGGAAAGUCAAAUUUAUGAAUCCAUAAGCCUUGUAGUUUUAAUUCAGAUUUCAGUGGUUAUGAGAAUGCGGUUUCGUAUGUUUUAUUAGUUUUCAUGUAUUUAAAUUCGAUUAAUAUUAGAUUAAAUUAUAUCUAGAAAUAGUUUAAGUAUCGUGUGAAUGGUGUUGCGGUAAUUAUAAACAAAAGUUUGGUUACCAUAAUUAUGUUUUAUGAAUUAAUAGUGAUGUUUGUUAACAGAUUAUAUAUUUGGAAAGCAUAUGAAAAGGGAAACCCUCUCCAGAGGCGUCUUUACCUAUGGUGCAAGGAGUCCGUUGCAACCGGGCUGCACGAUCCUAGGGGCGCCUGAGGGUCACUCGCCCCCUGUCCCGGAAAUAACAAAUGGGUCUUGUCGAUAGAACAGGUCCGGAUAACACAUUUGAAGCCAGCUUGUACAAUAUUUACUUUCAUCAAGAAGCAAUGAUAAAUUAACACGAAAUUGUUUUGAAAAUAACAAAAGUAGCUUCACUUAAAUAGCUAUCACUUUUUUCUGACUAAUCGAAAUGUCAUAAAAUUUUAGUCUUUUGAAAGUUGGUACUUCAUAAAGGUCAUAUGGAUUUAACAAUGGCAGCGCCAUCUAUGUGUCAGUCACACGUCUUAAUGAGUGAUGUAAUAUGUACCUUUCAACUUUUAUCACAACUCUCAAUAAUUCGAAGUUUUAUUUCUUUUUUCUCAAAAAUUUCAAACCAUUUGACAUUUUAAAUACUUCGAGUUUGGAAUAAAUGAUAGUAGCUUUAAUGUAUUCAGUUUAGUUUCCGGAGAUUUGAUUAUGGAGUUAAAGAAAAACAACCAACUUCUACUCAAAUAAUAUAUUUACAUUCUACUUGAACUUUACAGCAAUUAAUCUAAAGUGUUAUAAAAAAAUAAAAUAAAACAAGAAAACAAAAAUACAUUUAAUGUUAUAAUUGAACAGUAUAAUAAAUAAUACUUUCUACUUAUCGUUUUUAUAACAAUACGGAUAAACUGAAUAAGUGUAAAACCAAAUCAUUUUGGAGAUACUAGUCCGGGGUCAUUCAAUUGCUCAAAAUACAGUUAGUUUGACUUAAUGCACCAGAUUUUUGAAAAAUAAAUCAAAGAUCAGUGCUAAUUCAAGUAUGAUCAUAGAGAGUAUUAGUUUAAGAAUAAUUGAGAUUAAUUGGUACAGUUGAAUGAAUUUUUUAUUUUACAUUUAAAACGAGAUAAAUUAAUCGGUAGUUGAUUAAAGUGAGUUUUAUUUCCAGUUAUAUUUGAAAAAAGUGACAAGAAAUAGGAAACUUUUGAUCUAAAUGUUGUGUCAGAACAAAUAAUAUUUAUCAAAAAGAUAAUACUAUGGCAAACAAUGGAAAAAUGGCCAAAUAACCAGGAAUGGUGUAAGCUGAAGAAUAAUUUGAGACAGAUUACAUUUGUCCUAUGGAAACAAAAAUCAAUGAACUAGGUAUGGUAAAACCCAAAGUAGGAGGAUUCAGAACAAAUAAAAUUCGUUAUUUGGAAAAUUGAUUAACCAAGAGGGGUCAGAACAGAUAAAAUUGGUUAUUGGUAGAAUGGUUCCUAUGUAACCAUCGAAUGAACAAAACAGUUGAACCAGAAAUGGUAAAAACUGAGGAACCAAGAAGGUUAUUAACUGAAAAAGGAUUCAUAAUGAACCAGAAAUGGUGAAACUAGAAUUAGAAUUUAGAACAAAUAAAAUUCGUCAUUUUGAAGUUUAGUCAUUUGGAAACUAAAAUUGAUGAACCCAAAAGGGUCAGAACAGAUGAAAUUGAUCAUUGGGAUAGAAAAUGAUAAAUCGGACUUGGUAAAAAAAGAAGAAUCAAAUAAUGAAUGAGAGGUGGCAAAACCCAAAGCAGAAGAAUUCUGAACAAAUACAAUUAGUCAUUUCGAAGAUUAGUCAUUUGGAAACAAAAAUUGAUGAACCAGGAAGGAUCAGAACAGAUGAAAUCGAUCGUUGGGAUGGAAACUGAUGAACCAAAGAAGGAUUCGUAAUGAACCAGAGGUGAUAAAGCUCAAAGUAGAAGGAAUUAGAACAAAUAAAAUUCAUCAUUUGAAAAAUGAGUGCUAUAGAAACAAAUAUUGAUGGAUUAGAGCAGAUAAAAUUGGUCAUUGGGAGAAUGGUUCCCAUGUAAACAAAACCUGAUGAAUGUAAAAAACCAAAGAAACAAAAAUUGAUGUACCACGAAGGUAAAAAAUCAAAGAAAAAUUGUUCAUAAUAGAUAAAAUUGGUCAUUUAUAUUGAUUUUGUUAAGCUUCAAUGACAAAAAUUAACAAUUGAAGGAAUAAUAUUGAAAUAAACAAGUUUUACUAAAUUCCAUUUGUAUUAUAAAAUUAUUAGUUUUUAUUUUCUAAGUUGUAUAACUUGUAAUUAGCUAAGUAGCUGUCAGUAUUUCCAAAACUAAUACUCUGAACUAAUAAAAAGAUAAAUAUGUAAUUAGUAGCAUGUAUAUAAGUAUAUAAAAAAUUUUAAUGGACUUUUCAUGUAUUUUAUACUCAAAAAAGGUAAAAUUUAUUAAAACAUAAAUUAUAUUCUGUA